UUUUAAAAUAAGAGUUUGAUCCUGGCUCAGGACGAACGCUGGCGGCGUGCCUAACACAUGCAAGUCGAGCGAAGAAGUCCCUUCGGGGAUGGAUUAGCGGCGGACGGGUGAGUAACACGUGGGUAACCUGGCUCAAAGAGGGGGAUAGCCUCCCGAAAGGGAGAUUAAUACCGCAUAAAAGGUAAAUAUCGCAUGGUAAAUACCUUAAAGGAGAAAUCCGCUUUGAGAUGGGCCCGCGUCGCAUUAGCUAGUUGGAGGGAUAAAAGCCCCCCAAGGCGACGAUGCGUAGCCGACCUGAGAGGGUGAACGGCCACAUUGGAACUGAGAUACGGUCCAGACUCCUACGGGAGGCAGCAGUGGGGAAUAUUGCACAAUGGGGGAAACCCUGAUGCAGCAACGCCGCGUGAGUGAAGAAGGUUUUCGGAUCGUAAAGCUCUGUCAUCCGGGACGAUAAUGACGGUACCGGAAGAGGAAGCCACGGCUAACUACGUGCCAGCAGCCGCGGUAAUACGUAGGUGGCGAGCGUUGUCCGGAAUUACUGGGCGUAAAGGGUGUGCAGGCGGAUAUUUAAGUGAGAUGUGAAAGACCCGGGCUUAACCCGGGCAGUGCAUUUCAAACUGGAUAUCUAGAGUGCAGGAGAGGAGAACGGAAUUCCUAGUGUAGCGGUGAAAUGCGUAGAGAUUAGGAAGAACACCAGUGGCGAAGGCGGUUCUCUGGACUGUAACUGACGCUGAGGCACGAAAGCGUGGGUAGCAAACAGGAUUAGAUACCCUGGUAGUCCACGCCGUAAACGAUGAGUACUAGGUGUAGGGGGUAUCGACCCCCCCUGUGCCGCAGUAAACACAAUAAGUACUCCGCCUGGGAAGUACGAUCGCAAGAUUAAAACUCAAAGGAAUUGACGGGGACCCGCACAAGCAGCGGAGCAUGUGGUUUAAUUCGAAGCAACGCGAAGAACCUUACCUGGACUUGACAUCCCCUGAAUAACUCGUAAUGGAGGAAGCCCUUCGGGGCAGGGAGACAGGUGGUGCAUGGUUGUCGUCAGCUCGUGUCGUGAGAUGUUAGGUUAAGUCCUGCAACGAGCGCAACCCCUGUCGUUAGUUGCCAUCACGUAAAGGUGGGCACCCUAACGAGACUGCCGCGGUUAACGUGGAGGAAGGUGGGGAUGACGUCAAAUCAUCAUGCCCCUUAUGUCCAGGGCAACACACGUGCUACAAUGGGCAGAACAGAGAGAAGCAAUACCGCGAGGAGGAGCAAAUCUCAAAAACUGCCCCCAGUUCGGAUUGCAGGCUGAAACCCGCCUGCAUGAAGUUGGAGUUGCUAGUAAUCGCGAAUCAGCAUGUCGCGGUGAAUACGUUCCCGGGUCUUGUACACACCGCCCGUCACACCAUGAGAGCUGGCAACACCCGAAGUCCGUAGUCUAACCAAAAGGAGGACGCGGCCGAAGGUGGGGUUAGUGAUUGGGGUGAAGUCGUAACAAGGUAGCCGUAGGAGAACCUGCGGCUGGAUCACCUCCUUUCUA
rnacentral:rRNA from 1 species